rnacentral:rRNA from 1 species
AGAGUUUGAUCAUGGCUCAGGACGAACGCUGGCGGCGCGCUAACACAUGCAAGUCGAACGGGGUAUAUAGUUGAGUAAUCGAAUGUAUACCUAGUGGCGGACGGGUGAGUAACGCGUGAGCAACCUGCCUCUUACAGGGGGAUAACGUACCGAAAGGCACACUAAUACCGCAUAUAAUACAAUUACGCAUGUAGCUGUAUAGAAAGGGAUUACCGGUAAGAGAUGGGCUCGCGUCCGAUUAGAUAGUUGGUAGGGUAACGGCCUACCAAGUCAACGAUCGGUAGCCGACCUGAGAGGGUGAUCGGCCACAUUGGAACUGAGAACGGUCCAAACUCCUACGGGAGGCAGCAGUGGGGAAUCUUGGGCAAUGGGGGGAACCCUGACCCAGCGACGCCGCGUGAGGGAAGAAGGUUUUCGGAUUGUAAACCUCUGUUCUUGGUGAAGAGUAAAAGACGGUAGCCAAGGAGGAAGCCCCGGCUAACUACGUGCCAGCAGCCGCGGUAAUACGUAGGUGGCGAGCGUUGUCCGGAAUUACUGGGCGUAAAGAGCACGUAGGCGGGAUUUUAAGUCAGGUGUGAAAGACCGUGGCUCAACCACGGGGUUGCACAUGAAACUGGAAUUCUUGAGGGCAGGAGAGGAAAGUGGAAUUCCUGGUGUAGCGGUGAAAUGCGUAGAAAUCAGGAGGAACACCGGUGGCGAAGGCGGCUUUCUGGACUGACCCUGACGCUGAGGUGCGAAAGCGUGGGUAGCAAACAGGAUUAGAUACCCUGGUAGUCCACGCUGUAAACGAUGGAUACUAGGUGUGGGAGGUAUCGACCCCUUCCGUGCCGCAGCAAACGCAAUAAGUAUCCCGCCUGGGGAGUACGGUCGCAAGGCUGAAACUCAAAUGAAUUGACGG